AUUGAACGCUGGCGGCAGGCCUAACACAUGCAAGUCGAGCGGAUGAAGGGAGCUUGCUCCUGGAUUCAGCGGCGGACGGGUGAGUAAUGCCUAGGAAUCUGCCUGGUAGUGGGGGAUAACGUCCGGAAACGGGCGCUAAUACCGCAUACGUCCUGAGGGAGAAAGUGGGGGAUCUUCGGACCUCACGCUAUCAGAUGAGCCUAGGUCGGAUUAGCUAGUUGGUGGGGUAAAGGCCUACCAAGGCGACGAUCCGUAACUGGUCUGAGAGGAUGAUCAGUCACACUGGAACCGAGAAACGGUCCAGACUCCUACGGGAGGCAGCAGUGGGGAAUAUUGGACAAUGGGCGAAAGCCUGAUCCAGCCAUGCCGCGUGUGUGAAGAAGGUCUUCGGAUUGUAAAGCACUUUAAGUUGGGAGGAAGGGCAGUAAGUUAAUACCUUGCUGUUUUGACGUUACCAACAGAAUAAGCACCGGCUAACUUCGUG
rnacentral:rRNA from 1 species